GGUUUGAUUCUGGCUCAGAUUGAACGCUGGCGGGAUGCUUUACACAUGCAAGUCGAACGGCAGCACGUGGACUUCGGUCUGGUGGCGAGUGGCGAACGGGUGAGUAAUGUAUCGGAACGUGCCUAGUAGGGGGGAUAAUCUCACGCGAAAGCGCAUACACCGCAUACGCCCUUCGGGGGAAAGCGGGGACCUUCGGGCCUCGCACUAUUAGAGCGGCCGAUAUCGGAUUAGCUAGUUGGUGGGGCAACGGCUCACCAAGGCGACGAUCCGUAGCUGGUUUGAGAGGACGACCAGCCACACUGGGACUGAGACACGGCCCAGACUCCUACGGGAGGCAGCAGGGAAUUUGGACAAUGGGGAAACCCUUGAUCCAGCCAUCCCGCGUGUGCGAUGAAGGCCUUCGGGUUGUAAAGCACUUUUGGCAGGAGAGAAAGAAACGGCACGGAUAAUACCCCGUGCAACUGACGGUACCUGCAGAAUAAGCACCGGCUAACUACGUGCCAGCAGCCGCGGUAAUACGUAGGGUGCAAGCGUUAAUCGGAAUUACUGGGCGCAGCGUGCGUGCGGUUCGGAAAGAAAGAUGUGAAAUCCCAGAGCUUAACUUUUGGAACCGCAUUUUUAACUACCGAGCUAGAGUGUGGUCAGAGGAGGUGGAAUUCGCGUGUAGCAGUGAAAUGCGUAUGCGUGGAGGAACACCGAUGGCGAAGGCAGCCUCCUGGGAUAACACUGAACGCUCAUGCACGAAAGCGUGGGGAGCAACAGGAUUAGAUAAUUUGCAGUCCACGCCCCAAACGAUGUCAACUAGCCGUUGGGGCCUGCCUUGGUAGCGCAGCUAACGCGUGAAGUUGACCGCCUGGGGAGUACGGUCGCAAGAUUAAACUCAAAGGAAUUGGACGGGGACCCGCACAAGCGGUGGAUGAUGUGGAUUAAUUCGACAACGCGAAAACUCCACUACCCUUGACAUGUCUGGAAUCCCGAAGAGAUUUAGAGUGCUCGGCAAGAGAACCGGAACACAGGUACUGCAUGGCUGUCAGCUCGUGUCGUGAGAUGCUGGGGUUGUUUCCGCAACGAGCGCAACCUUGUCAUUAGUUGCUACGAAAGGGCACUCUAAUGAGACUGCCGGUGACAAACCGGAGGAAGGUGGGGAUGACGUCAAGUCCUCAUGGCCCUUAUGGGUAGGGCUUCACACGUCAUACAAUGGUCGGGACAGUGGUCGCCAACCCGCGAGGGGGAGCCAACCCAGAAACCCGAUCGUAGUCCGGAUCGCAGUCUGCAACUCGACUGCGUGAAGUCGGAAUCGCUAGUAAUCGCGGAUCAGCAUGUCGCGGUGAAUACGUUCCCGGGUCUUGUACACACCGCCCGUCACACCAUGGGAGUGGGUUUUACCAGAAGUAGUUAGUCAACCGUAAGGAGGGCGAUUACCACGGUAGGAUUCAUGACUGGGGAAGUCGUAACAAGGUA
rnacentral:rRNA from 1 species